ACGCUCGACACCUACGGGAGACAGCAGUGGGGAAUAUUGCACAAUGGGGGAAACCCUGAUGCAGUGACGCCGCGUGAGCGAAGAAGUAUUUCGGUAUGUAAAGCUCUAUCAGCAGGGAAGAAACUGACGGUACCUGACUAAGAAGCACCGGCUAAAUACGUGCCGGCAGCCGCGGUAAUCUGAGGCGGGCUGGCAAGGC
rnacentral:rRNA from 1 species